rnacentral:rRNA from 1 species
ACGAACGCUGGCGGCGUGCCUAAUACAUGCAAGUAGAACGCUGAAGGAGGAGCUUGCUUCUCUGGAUGAGUUGCGAACGGGUGAGUAACGCGUAGGUAACCUGCCUGGUAGCGGGGGAUAACUAUUGGAAACGAUAGCUAAUACCGCAUAAUAGUAGAUGUUGCAUGACAUCUGCUUAAAAGGUGCAAUUGCAUCACUACCAGAUGGACCUGCGUUGUAUUAGCUAGUUGGUGGGGUAACGGCUCACCAAGGCGACGAUACAUAGCCGACCUGAGAGGGUGAUCGGCCACACUGGGACUGAGACACGGCCCAGACUCCUACGGGAGGCAGCAGUAGGGAAUCUUCGGCAAUGGACGGAAGUCUGACCGAGCAACGCCGCGUGAGUGAAGAAGGUUUUCGGAUCGUAAAGCUCUGUUGUAAGAGAAGAACGAGUGUGAGAGUGGAAAGUUCACACUGUGACGGUAUCUUACCAGAAAGAGACGGCUAACUACGUG